GGGGAACCGUCGACAGUCAGGUAACGAGCGAGACCCACGCCAACAGUUGCUAGCUCGUCCUCCGGGAUGGAGAGGACACUGUUGGGACCGCCUCUGCUAAAGAGGAGGAAGGAAUGGGCAACGGUAGGUCAGCAUGCCCCGAAUUAACUGGGCUACACGCGGGCUACAAUGGGUGGGACAAUGGGUAUCGACACCGAAAGGUGAAGGCAAUCUCCUAAACCCAUCCUUAGUUCGGAUUGUGGGCUGCAACUCGCCCACAUGAAGCUGGAAUCCGUAGUAAUCGUAUCUCAAUAUGGUACGGUGAAUAUGUCCCUGCUCCUUGCACGAAUUCGCCG
rnacentral:rRNA from 1 species